rnacentral:rRNA from 1 species
UACGUAGGGUCCGAGCGUUGUCCGGAAUUAUUGGGCGUAAAGAGCUCGUAGGCGGUCUGUUACGUCGGCUGUGAAAACCUGGGGCUCAACCCCGGGCCUGCAGCCGAUACGGGCAGACUAGAAUUCGGUAGGGGAGACUGGAAUUCCUGGUGUAGCGGUGAAAUGCGCAGAUAUCAGGAGGAACACCGGUGGCGAAGGCGGGUCUCUGGGCCGAUAUUGACGCUGAGGAGCGAAAGCGUGGGGAGCGAACAGG